CCUACGGGGAGCAGCAGUGGGGAAUAUUGGACAAUGGGCGAAAGCCUGAUCCAGCCAUGCCGCGUGUGUGAAGAAGGCCUUCGGGUUGUAAAGCACUUUUAGUGGGGAAGAAAGCCUUGGGGCUAAUACCCUCGAGGAAGGACAUCACCCACAGAAUAAGCACCGGCUAACUCCGUGCCAGCAGCCGCGGUAAUACGGAGGGUGCGAGCGUUAAUCGGAAUUACUGGGCGUAAAGCGCGCGUAGGCGGUCUGAUAAGCCGGUUGUGAAAGCCCCGGGCUCAACCUGGGAACGGCAUCCGGAACUGUCAGGCUAGAGUGCAGGAGAGGAAGGUAGAAUUCCCGGUGUAGCGGUGAAAUGCGUAGAGAUCGGGAGGAAUACCAGUGGCGAAGGCGGCCUUCUGGACUGACACUGACGCUGAGGUGCGAAAGCGUGGGUAGCAAACAGGAUUAGAUACCCCUGUAGUC
rnacentral:rRNA from 1 species